GGGGGCUGCUCCUAGUACGAGAGGACCGGAGUGGACGCAUCACUGGUGUUCGGGUUGUCAUGCCAAUGGCACUGCCCGGUAGCUAAAUGCGGAAGAGAUAAGUGCUGAAAGCAUCUAAGCACGAAACUUGCCCCGAGAUGAGUUCUCCCUGACCCUUUAAGGGUCCUGAAGGAACGUUGAAGACGACGACGUUGAUAGGCCGGGUGUGUAAGCGCAGCGAUGCGUUGAGCUAACCGGUACUAAUGAACCGUGAGGCUUAACCUUAC
rnacentral:rRNA from 1 species